GACGAACGCUGGCGGCGUGCUUAACACAUGCAAGUCGAACGGAAAGGCCCUGCUUUUGUGGGGUGCUCGAGUGGCGAACGGGUGAGUAACACGUGAGUAACCUGCCCUGGACUGUGGGAUAACUUCAGGAAACUGGGGCUAAUACCGGAUAGGAGCUCCUGCUGCAUGGUGGGGGUUGGAAAGUUUCGGCGGUUGGGGAUGGACUCGCGGCUUAUCAGCUUGUUGGUGGGGUAGUGGCUUACCAAGGCUUUGACGGGUAGCCGGCCUGAGAGGGUGACCGGCCACAUUGGGACUGAGAUACGGCCCAGACUCCUACGGGGGGCAGCAGUGGGGAAUAGUGCACAAUGGGCGGAAGCCUGAUGCAGCAACGCCGCGUGCGGGAUGACGGCCUUCGGGUUGUAAACCGCUUUCGCCUGUGACGAAGAGUGAGUGACGGUAAUGGGUAAAGAAGCACCGGCUAACUACGUG
rnacentral:rRNA from 1 species